CCCCUCUCUCUCCCUCCCACCGCGUUCUGCCCGAUCUGUUUCCUGCCUCGUGCUCCCAUCUAAUAAAAAACUAGAAAAAACCGGACUUAAAAAACCGAGGAGUGAAAAGAACCCCGGUCUGCCACCCCCGCACCACACAACCCUAAGCCUCCCCGAGCACCACUUCCGCCGCGCCGCCACAACCUCCACGCCUCCCCUGCGCCGCUCAUCGCUACCCCCGUCCCUGCCCCCGCCCCCGCCAUGGACGAGCGCUUCGCUGUCACCACCACCCCUCAUCUUCACCGCAGCCACAAGUCUUCCACCGCCGCCCCCGCCUCUUUACUAUCACCACUCGAUCCCAUCGAACCCGUCGGCACGAGCGAACGAUCCAGAAGCCGCCCCACCCACCCAUGGCGCGAGGCAAUCGGAGCGAGAGAGGAGGAGGAUGGCGAGGCGAGGCGGAAGGGGGACGAUGGGGAAGACACGGUGCGGAUGAAGAUGGUGGUGUACGCGCUGUCGCCGUUCUAGCAGAAGGUGAUGCCGAGGCUGUGGAAGGACAUCGCCACCAAGAUCCACCAUAAGGUCUCCGAGAACUGGAUCUCCGUCACACUCCUCCUCACCCCUAUCAUCGGUACCUACAAGUAAGCCCGUACCUCCCUCCGUUCACCCACUCCCCCCACCCCCUGCUGCUCGCCGGCGGUUCCUCUGUGCCGUGCAGAUCUCUGGCUAAAGCCACGCCUUUGAUCCCCCAGAUCCUCCUCCCCUCCUUUCCUCGCUCCAAUGCGCCGCUGCCAUCACUUGGAUGCUAAGGAUGGAUGUUGGCAUCGCCUCGCGGGACAGCUUGGUCUCCGCCGAGCUCGCAUACAGCCUGGGCUGGAUCCGGGACGGGUUCCUCAACCACGCCGAUUGUCUCCCUCUACCUCAUGCCCCAACGUGAUCUAGAUCUGUCGGCCGCUAUCGUGGCGGAUCUCCUCGACGCGGCCUAGGCUCGACAUCCUCCAGCCGCUGCGAAGUGGCGGUGCUCGGGGUUCGACUACUACGUGAUCGUCGGCAAUCGCUCGGGCGGAUCGGGCUACGGCCGCCGUUUGGGAGGUGGAGCACCAACGAGUAGCGGCCAUGCCUGACAGGUGACCUGGUGGAGGAGCUGUGGCGGACGCGCGAGCCCAUGGCGACCGCAGCGGCAAGCGAUCGAGGCUUCGAUACAAAUUUGUUUACCAAAUCAAGGAGUGGAUGCAUGGUAAUUGAGGUGGUCUUGCACAUGGGAGAUCACGGCUGCCGUGGCAUCGCUGAGCAGCAAAUUAGAUGUGUAGCUGCCUGACGGCAACUCUGCAGAAACAGGGGUGAAUGGAUUUAUUCAGUUUUUCAUUGUACAACAAGAUGCAAGUGCAGCCAGGGAAGAGGAAAGUGCUUCUCACUGUUUGUCUACCACCACCUAUGCUGCCCACUAAGGUUGUAAUUGCUCUUUGGUACUGGAUGCCAUGUUGUUGCUGCUGGACGUAGAAUGCCAAAGCAAGCUAGAAGAAUACUCCGAAUACGAUGGCCUCAGUCAGAGAGGAGCCUUGCAUAGAUGACGACGGCUGAGCUACCAUGUUGCAGCCGUGCUCACUGUCCUCGGUGCUGAUUCCUGGAUUCUGCUAGCAAAAUGAAAGUUUUCUCGAAAUGAACUAGAACAUUAUUCUCUUAUGUUGUGUCACAUAUUUUAUCCUUAUGGUACAAGAUAUUGCAUUUGGUUCUUAUAGUAGAGUUGUCGUGGAUGUUUGUUGUGGAUUAGCAAGCUUUGGUGUAUUAUACUCUCAUGUGAUGUGUUGAAAUUAUCCGUAUCUUCAAAAGAUAUUAAAGAGAUUCAGAUAGAGUGCUCUUCAAUUGUUACUCUGUUAGAUAGUUUAAGUGUAAAUAGAAAGGAUAAACGAAUCUGAUUGACAUGUUUAGAUGGUGUAAAUUUGGCUGUUUAGAUAGUUUAAUUUCCAUUUGGCUUGCAGUGCAACAUUCUGGUUGGACUGCAUAUCGGAGAAUCAUGGAAGGCAUGCAGGUUCAGGAACCAGCAUGUAAAUUCUUCUGACAGGAACAGGAAACUGUUGAUCACAUUUUUGCAUGCAUCUACUCCAAGCAAAAUUGUGUUGUGGUUCUAGGCUGGAUCAGAGUACCUCUUCCUGUUGAUGAGCAAUCUUGCGUGGAUUGGUGGUUAGCCCCUCCGAAACUGGUACCUGCAAGAACUAUGAAAGGCUUUGACUUCACCAUUCUUGUAGCUUGGUGAAUUGGAAGAGAACAUUAAAAUCUAUCACGACGCUUCUACAUAGAGUAUCGGGGUGAUUUUCCAGGCUGGAGAAAGACAUGUGCAGUUCUCUAGACAUGUUCUAAUCUCGAUAGUUCAGGCGAUUCAGAGUUGUUUUGGUAUUUUGUUAAAGAUUUAUGAUUUGCUUUAUUUAUAGGUUGAUUGGAUGUCUCAAACCCUGAAUAUAUAGACCAGUCCAGCAAGUUCUUCAGCACAAACCAAUGGAUGGGCCCUGCCAUGAUCAUGACAGAUCAUUCCCCCGUUCUCAUGUGUAUCAAUUAAUGUAUCAAUUAGUUUGUAUUUCAUCAUCCAUCUUAUUAGCUCUCUGCUUGCUUUUCUUUUCUUUUCUCAACCAUGAGAAAAAAACUAGAACAUUUCAUUUGGAUGAGGUUUAGUAGUGGGAAUGGAUAACAAUUGUUGCUGGCGAAGCGCGUACUUUCGAGGUUGGUCUAAGAAUCAUGCUCCCACAAACCUUCCCUGGAGGAGAUCGAGAAGUACAAGCACGAUUCUUUGACGCAAUGGUUUCAAUGACUCGGUUUGGGAAGUCUGAUUACUUUAUCACAAUGACAUGUAAUUCAUUUUGGAAGGAGAUAACAAGGCAACUAUUUUCGGACUAGACAUCACUGAGACAGAUCAAAACUUGUUGCGAGAAUACUAGAUGUAGAG